AAGCAGCACGCUCUCUCUCGACUUCACCUCUAGCCCGCACAUUCCGACGCCGCGGUCUGGCUGGUGGUUGUUGUCCUGGCUGCGCCUCCUCUUGCUCGUCAUCUAUCGGCGGUAUAACAAAAUGACCCCCGAUAUUCACCACCGCCCGCAUAACACCCAAGACUUGAAUGGUCAAGUCUGUGUCCGGGAAUCGAGUAAGAUUCCUCACAAAGUCAUGGGUCAAAAUAUGAUAUGACCUAGCAAGGCGAGUAACCAAAUGCCCCCCAGUAAUCGGGCUCCCAGGCCUAGAAUUGGCCGCUUUCUUCCCCAUGAACCUCGCCAACAUAUAAGGUAAAUCACAGCAAACUCCCGGGGUAAUAAGAGUCCAUAAAUAAAACAGAUUCUGAAUGGGGACUUUAUCACCAUGAUGCUUGUGAUUUAUUGAAAAAGUGAUAAGGCGGUGCAAAAAUCGGAAAACAGGAUUCCGAAUUUGUGACUCACUCGAGUCACGAGUGUUGUACUCAUGGUUAGAAAUGCCCCGCCAGAACUGCACAUCCAAAGUACCGGGAGCAAAAUCUCGAACACAUCCAAGCNACCACCGCCCGCAUAACACCCAAGACUUGAAUGGUCAAGUCUGUGUCCGGGAAUCGAGUAAGAUUCCUCACAAAGUCAUGGGUCAAAAUAUGAUAUGACCUAGCAAGGCGAGUAACCAAAUGCCCCCCAGUAAUCGGGCUCCCUGGCCUAGAAUUGGCCGCUUUCUUCCCCAUGAACCUCGCCAACAUAUAAGGUAAAUCACAACAAACUCUCAGGGUAAUAAGAGUCCAUAAAUAAAACAGAUUCUGAAUGGGGACUUUAUCACCAUGAUGCUUGUGAUUUAUUGAAAAAGUGAUAAGGCAGUGUAAAAAUCGGAAAACAGGAU
rnacentral:lncRNA from 1 species